AUGCGUCGGUGGUUUUGUUGCAGCCAGUUUCAUGCUUCAUAUCGUGAACAUGAACAUGAAUUUCCUUCCAGCCCGGAUGAGAAAGAAGGAAAUGGUUUUGAUUCCAAAAGUGAUCCAACAAAAACACCUCCUCCCAUUGAAAUACCUGAAUUGUCACUUGAUGAACUGAAAGAAAAGACCGACAACUUUGGGUCAAAAGCUUUGAUCGGUGAAGGAUCGUACGGGAGAGUGUAUUAUGCUAUUCUAGACAGCGGGAAACAUCUUGCUGUUAAAAAGCUUGAUACCUCAGCAGACCCUGAGCCUGAUAACGAAUUUCUGACACAGCUCUCGAUUGUGUCGAGAUUAAAGCAUGAAAAUUUUGUGGAAAUGCUUGGCUACUGUGUGGAAGGAAAUCAACGUCUGGUGGCCUAUGAAUUUGCUACGAUGGGUUCUCUACAUGAUAUUUUGCAUGGAAGAAAAGGUGUCCCUGGUGCACAGCCUGGCCCAGCACUUGACUGGAUGCAGCGAGUCAAAAUUGCUAUAGAUGCUGCUAAAGGGCUAGCAUAUCUUCAUGAGAAGGUUCAACCUUCGAUAGUCCAUCGGGACAUACGGUCUAGCAAUGUACUUCUAUUUGAGGACUACAGAGCGAAAGUUGCAGAUUUUAAUCUUUCAAACCAGUCUCCUGAUAUGGCUGCUCGUUUGCAUUCCACCCGUGUCCUUGGAACCUUCGGCUAUCAUGCUCCUGAGUAUGCCAUGACUGGCCAGCUAACUCAGAAAAGUGAUGUAUAUAGCUUUGGAGUUGUUCUUUUAGAGCUUCUAACAGGAAGGAAACCAGUAGAUCAUACAAUGCCUAGAGGCCAGCAGAGUCUGGUUACAUGGGCGACACCUCGCUUGACUGAGGAUACAGUGAAACAAUGUAUCGACCCAAGGUUGAAGGGCGAGUGUCCCCCAAAAGGCGUUGCCAAGCUUGCGGCAGUGGCAGCCCUCUGCGUGCAGUACGAAUCGGAGUUCAGACCCAGCAUGAGCAUCGUCGUCAAGGCGCUCUCGCCCCUUCUUCAGCAGAAACCUCAAGCUCCACCGGCCGCUGCUCCUAACACAACGACUUCAGAUGCCUGA
rnacentral:rRNA from 1 species